AGGCGGCAACAUUAGCACUCAGCUCUGCGCCAUUGGAUUAAAUUACAGAUAGACUAUUGUGACGUCCAGCCCACCAGUCAAAGAGCUCAUGGAGCUCUGGCCUGCUCUUCGUAUGCAGUCUGAGGU